CCAACAAAAUCCACUUGCGUUUCUAUGGAUGAGAUUUAAGUAAUGAAAGGUAACGAAAGGUGCAGGCGCCUAUAGAAUCAGAUGGCCAGGAUUGGUUCUCCAGAGAGUUACUUGGUUAUCUUACAGGUUUCCUGACUUUCUGGCACUUACCAGCACCUGACCUUCUUUGCCGUUUGCAAUUCAACUUGAGGGCAGAAACUGUGUUUUGUAACACCAUCUGCAAGCACAUAGCGAGUGCUCGGCAAAUGUUUGCUGCUGCCCUUUCCAGUGUCCAGGGUAAUUUGUAUUUCAGGAGAAGAUACAAAAGAGGUCAUUGCUGAGCCUAAAGAAAUAAAUUCUGACAGCCAAGGAGGAGGGGGCAUUUGUGGGAAGGAAAGGGCACCGGCAGGUUCAUCACUCGUUAAAUAACCAAGACCUCUGCGCACCCAGAAGCCUCAGCACCUCUUGGCAGCCCAAGCCCUGAGCGUCCCCAAAGGGACCUGACCAAAGGGAGUUGGUAGGGAAAGUUCUCUGGCUGAGGCUGUUCUGUGAUACCAUGUCAGGGAAUCAUGGAUUCCAUGCGCUGUUUUCUCAGCACUGAUGUGUAACUAUUACCAAUCAGGUACACUCACCACCUCGGUGUCCCAAAUCUUUGUAGGCCCUUCAUCAUGGAGCCACAGUUGACUGACUUCCCGCAGAGCUGAUCUCAGUUUCCAGCUCUUCCAGCGAGAGAAGAAGACAAAAGAUGUGCCAGAUACUCAAAGUCUUCUCAGUGAUUAACUGGAGGUGAAGGUGCAGCUUUGGAGACAUGUGUGUGCCGUGCAACAAAAUCAAUGAAUGAAUUAGUUGUGUGAUCAAAAAUAAAGAAA